rnacentral:rRNA from 1 species
GACGAACGCUGGCGGCGUGCUUAACACAUGCAAGUCGAACGGAAAGGCCUGCUUUCCCUUGUGGAUUGCGGGUACUCGAGUGGCGAACGGGUGAGUAACACGUGAGUGAUCUGCCCCCAACUUGGGUAUAAGCCUGGGAAAUUGGGUCUAAUUCCCGAUAGGACUGCAGGGUGGUGCCUGUGGUGGAAAACGAUUUUCUAGUGGUUGGGGAUGAGCUCGCGGCCUAUCAGCUUGUUGUGGGGGUAAUGGCCUACAACGGCGGCGACGGGUAGCCGGCCUGGGAGGGUGGACGGCCACAUUGGGACUGAGAUCCGGCCCAGACUCCUACGGGAGGCAGCAGUGGGGAAUAUUACACAAUGGGCGGAAGCCUGAUGCAGCGACGCCGCGUGGGGGAUGACGGCCUUCGGGUUGUAAACUCCUUUCGACCGCGAGGAAGCCACCUGGUUGGAGGGGUGGUGACGGUAGUGGUAGAAGAAGCACCGGCUAACUACGUG